GACGAACGCUGGCGGCGUGCUUAACACAUGCAAGUCGAACGGGCCUGUCUUCUUUUUUGGGGGGUGGGUUGAGUGGCGAACGGGUGAGUAUCACGUGAGUAACCUGCCCUUCGGUCCUGGAUAACCGCUUGAAAGGGCGGCUAAUACGGGGUGGUCCGGUUGGUCCGCAUGGGCUGGUCGGGAUAGAUUCACUGUUUUUGGUGUUUCGGCGGGGGAUGGGCUCGCGGCCUAUCAGCUUGUUGGUGGGGUGAUGGCCUACCAAGGCGGUGACGGGUAGCCGGCCUGAGAGGGUGGGCGGCCACACUGGGACUGAGAUACGGCCCAGACUCCUGCGGGAGGCAGCAGUGGGGGGUAUUGCACAAUGGGCGGAAGCCUGAUGCAGCGACGUCGCGUGAGGGAUGGAGGCCUUCGGGUUGUGAACCUCUGUUUCCGGUGGUGAAGGCCCUGUCCGUGUGGUAGGGUUGACGGUAGCCGGGGAUGAAGCGCCGGCUAACUACGUG
rnacentral:rRNA from 1 species